rnacentral:rRNA from 1 species
AUUGAACGCUGGCGGCAGGCCUAACACAUGCAAGUCGAACGAGUGGCGGACGGGUGAGUAAUGUCUGGGAAACUGCCUGCUGGAGGGGGAUAACUACUGGAAACGGGAGCUAAUACCGCAUACCAUCAGAUGUUGCCAGAUGGGAUUAGCUUGUUGGUGGGGUAACGGCUCACCAAGGCCACGAUCACUAGCUGGUCUGAGAGGAUGACCAGCAACACUGGAACUGAGACACGGUCCAGACUCCUGCGGGAGGCAGCAGUGUGGAAUAUUGCACAAGGGGCGCAAGCCUGACGCAGCCAUGCCGCGUGUAUGAAGAAGGCCUUCGGGUUGUAAAGUACUUUCAGCGGGGAGGCGUUACCCGCAGAAGAAGCACCGGCUAACGCCGUGCCAGCAGCCGCGGUAAUAC